rnacentral:rRNA from 1 species
AACGCUAGCUACAGGCUUAACACAUGCAAGUCGAGGGGCAGCAUGAACUUAGCUUGCUAAGUUUGAUGGCGACCGGCGCACGGGUGAGUAACACGUAUCCAACCUCCCGCUUACUCAGGAAUAGCCUUUCGAAAGAAAGAUUAAUGCCUGAUGGUAUCUUAAGCACACAUGUAAUUAAGAUUAAAGAUUUAUCGGUAAGCGAUGGGGAUGCGUUCCAUUAGGUAGUAGGCGGGGUAACGGCCCACCUAGCCGACGAUGGAUAGGGGUUCUGAGAGGAAGGUCCCCCACAUUGGAACUGAGACACGGUCCAAACUCCUACGGGAGGCAGCAGUGAGGAAUAUUGGUCAAUGGGCGCGAGCCUGAACCAGCCAAGUAGCGUGAAGGAUGAAGGUCCUACGGAUUGUAAACUUCUUUUAUAAGGGAAUAAAGUCACCCACGUGUGGGUGUUUGUAUGUACCUUAUGAAUAAGCAUCGGCUAACUCCGUGCCAGCAGCCGCGGUAAUACGGAGGAUGCGAGCGUUAUCCGGAUUUAUUGGGUUUAAAGGGAGCGUAGACGGGUCGUUAAGUCAGCUGUGAAAGUUUGAGGCUCAACCUUAAAAUUGCAGUUGAUACUGGCGUCCUUGAGUACGGUUGAGGCAGGCGGAAUUCGUGGUGUAGCGGUGAAAUGCUUAGAUAUCACGAAGAACUCCGAUUG